UGUUCACUCAACCCUUUGCAAAGUUCAUUCUCAUUUUCACCACUAAAGCUACCAUAGCUCCGAUAGGAUAUGAUCCAGUCAGUCGUUUUCUAUAGUCAAAAGUGGACAAGAGAGAUAGAGGGCUUGUUCGUCCAAUCUCUCAUUUACCUAAAGCGACUAGGUAUUUUUAAAGCUUACGGCCACUCCAUGCAUGCGGUUCAUUCCGCAAUAUAUGCGUCAACAAGGCGUUCAGUGCGCGAUUAACUCACGUGUGAGGUUAUGGGAGGGUGGAUAAACUUUGCGAGCGUUUUUAUACGUUUCAAUGGGUGGGAAAUCACUUCGGCGUGAAUUAGAACCACGACGAGUGGAGAUUGACAGCGGAGGAUGCUGUGUGGGAGGAAAUUUGCAAGGAGAAGAAACUCGCUUGGUGCUACAUGAAUGCCUACAAGCUGAAGUGGGAUGAGAUGUGCGAGCUAUUCGACGAUGACGAGAACGUCACAAUCUGGACAUCCGACAACGAAGAAGAUGAUGAUGAUCCUUUUGCGGAGAAUCCAGGUUUGGUGGACCCCCCACCCUUGCAAUGAGCCUGUCAUUGUAAUAUUUGAUUCUAUCUGCAUGCACGUGUUGUAUAGCUUGGAUGAGUCCACAUCAUUUGCUGCGCUUUUCAAAGACGAUGAUGCUGACUCAACUCUCCUAAAGGCUCCGAAAAAUGACAGCGCAAGCUCGUACCCUGCCGGAUGAGCCCCCACUGUUGGAUGAUGUUGUUGAAGGUUAUGUUGGUUUUUUUCUUUUUUUGGAAUGAAAGGUGUUGUAGGCUGCUUUCAUGGUGUGGUGAUGGAAAGUUGAUGUAAUGGCAGGAAUGAUUUGUUUUAAAUGGUUAUCUUUAAUAAAUUUCUUUUGCUUACAUCUA